rnacentral:rRNA from 1 species
CAGCCGCCGCGGUAAUACCGGCGGCCCGAGUGGCGGUCACUAUUAUUGGGCUUAAAGCGUCCGUAGCCGGGUUGGGAAGUCCUCCGGGAAAUCUGGCCGCUUAACGGUCAGAAUGCCGGAGGAUACUCCCAGCCUAGGGAGCGGGAGAGGCCGAGGGGAUUCCCGGAGUAGGGGUGAAAUCCUAUAAUCCCGGGAGGACCACCUGUGGCGAAGGCGCUCGGCUGGAACGCGUCCGACGGUGAGGGACGAAGGCCAGGGGAGCAAACCGGAUUAGAUACCCGGGUAGUCCUGGCUGUAAACGAUGCGGACUUUGUGUCGGACAAGUUAUGAGCUUGUCCGGUGCCGGAGGGAAACCGUUAAGUCCGCCGCCUGGGGAGUACGGCCGCAAGGCUGAAACUUAAAGGAAUUGGCGGG